rnacentral:rRNA from 1 species
GACGAACGCUGGCGGCGUGCUUAACACAUGCAAGUCGAACGGAAAGGCCCUGCUUUUGUGGGUUGCUCGAGUGGCGAACGGGUGAGUAACACGUGAGUAACCUGCCCUUGACUUUGGGAUAACUUCAGGAAACUGGGGCUAAUACCGGAUAGGAGCUCCUGCUGCAUGGUGGGGGUUGGAAAGUUUCGGCGGUUGGGGAUGGACUCGCGGCUUAUCAGCUUGUUGGUGGGGUAGUGGCUUACCAAGGCUUUGACGGGUAGCCGGCCUGAGAGGGUGACCGGCGACAUUGGGACUGAGAUACGGACCAGACUCCUACGGGAGGCAGCAGUGGGGAAUAUUGCACAAUGGGCGGAAGCCUGAUGCAGCAACGCCGCGUGCGGGAUGACGGCCUUCGGGUUGUAAACCGCUUUCGCCUGUGACGAAGCGUGAGUGACGGUAAUGGGUAAAGAAGCACCGGCUAACUACGUG